UACGUAGGGUGCAAGCGUUGUCCGGAAUUAUUGGGCGUAAAGAGCUCGUAGGCGGUUUGUCGCGUCGAAUGUGAAAACCCGGGGCUCAACCCCGGGCCUGCAUUCGAUACGGGCAGACUAGAGUUCGGUAGGGGAGUCUGGAAUUCCUGGUGUAGCGGUGAAAUGCGCAGAUAUCAGGAGGAACACCGGUGGCGAAGGCGGGACUCUGGGCCAAUACUGACGCUGAGAAGCGAAAGCAUGGGGAGCGAACAGG
rnacentral:rRNA from 1 species